UCUGACUGUGCAAAGGUAGCAUAAUCAUUUGCCUUUUAAUUAAAGGCUCGUAUGAAUGGUUGAACGAAAUACAAACUGUCUCACUCUAAAAAGUUUAAAAAUUUAGCUUUCAAGUCAAAAGGCUUGAAUAAUAUUAGAGGACGAGAAGACCCUAUAGAACUUUAUAAUAUUUUUUUGUGAAUUUACAUAGUAAAAUAUUUUUUAUUUAUAAAUAUUAUUAUUUUGUUGGGGUGACAGGAAAAUAAGCAAAACUUUUUUGAAUUUUGAACAUUGAUUUAUGAAUAUUUGAUCCAUUAUUAGUGAUUAUUAGAAUAAGUUACCUUAGGGAUAACAGCGUAAUUUUGUUGGAGAGUUCAAAUCGAUAACAAAGUUUGCGACCUCGAUGUUGAAUUAAAGAAAUUUUAGAGUGCAGAAGCUUUAAGUAAUAGGUCUGUUCGACCUUUAAAUCUUUACAUGAUCUGAGUGUCAAACCGA
rnacentral:rRNA from 1 species